CUCCGCCAGAAAAUUACGGGCGAAAGCCUAAAACUCAAAAGACUUGACGGUGUCCCAACCUUCCUAGAGGAGCCUGUUCCAUAAUCGACAACCCACGAUGUACCAAACCCCCCUUAGACCUAUUUCAGCCUAUAUACCGCCGUCUAGACAGCUUACCUUUAAAAGACCACAAGUAAGCCUAAUAGUAUAAUACUAACAAGUCAGGUCAAGGUGUAGCUUAUAGGGUGGAGGAAAUGGGCUACAUUAUUUACUAUAAAUUAUACGAACUAAUUAUACCCUGAAAAAGAAAACGAAGGCGGAUUUAGCAGUAAUUUAAAUAAGAAUAUUUAAAUUAA
rnacentral:rRNA from 1 species